rnacentral:rRNA from 1 species
UACAGAGGUGGCAAGCGUUGUUCGGAAUUACUGGGCGUAAAGGGCGCGUAGGCGGCCCUCUAAGUCAGACGUGAAAUCCCUCGGCUCAACCGGGGAACUGCGUCUGAUACUGGAGGGCUUGAAUCCGGGAGAGGGAUGUGGAAUUCCAGGUGUAGCGGUGAAAUGCGUAGAUAUCUGGAGGAACACCGGUGGCGAAGGCGGCAUCCUGGACCGGUAUUGACGCUGAGGCGCGAAAGCUAGGGGAGCAAACGGG